AGGCAGCAGUGAGGAAUAUUGGUCAAUGGGCGGGAGCCUGAACCAGCCAAGUCGCGUGAGGGAAGACGGUCCUAUGGAUUGUAAACCUCUUUUGUCGGGGAGCAAGAAAGGGUAUGCAUACCCUACUGAGAGUACCCGAAGAAAAAGCAUCGGCUAACUCCGUGCC
rnacentral:rRNA from 1 species